CCUACGGGAGUCAGCAGUCGGGAAUAUUGCGCAAUGGAGGAAACUCUGACGCAGUGACGCCGCGUGCAGGAAGAAGGUUUUCGGAUUGUAAACUGCUUUAGACAAGGAAGAAAAAAGACAGUACCUGUAGAAUAAGCUCCGGCUAACUACGUGCCAGCAGCCGCGGUAAUACGUAGGGAGCAAGCGUUAUCCGGAUUUAUUGGGUGUAAAGGGUGCGUAGACGGAGAAGCAAGUUAGUUGUGAAAUCCCUCGGCUUAACUGAGGAACUGCAACUAAAACUACUUCCCUUGAGUACUGGAGAGGAAAGUGGAAUUCCUAGUGUAGCGGUGAAAUGCGUAGAUAUCACGAAGAACUCCGAUUGCGAAGGCAGCUCUCUGGACUGUAACUGACACUGAGGCACGAAAGCGUGGGGAGCAAACAGGAUUAGAUACCCUUGUAGUC
rnacentral:rRNA from 1 species